rnacentral:lncRNA from 1 species
AGUGGUUGCGAGAUCGGAGAAGGGGAAGGAGAAAUGAGGCCGGCGACGGAAGGAUAAGUGUAGUCACAGGCUCGGCUUCACGUGAAGGGCAAGGCGGUGUACAUGUUCGCUGAAGGCUAGCCUCAGGAUUCAGUCAGGCGUUAGGAAGGACAAUCGCGGGAUACUAACGAGAGGUCCUCAGAGCAAAGUUGAAGGCGAGCCGCUAUCAUCUGCUGUUCUCUGCCGCAGAGAGGACUGGAGGCUCACAGCUGGAGGAAUUUGCCUUGGGAUGAAUCAUGCCUUGAGUCUCACCUAUAUCUGAUUUAGAUGAGACUUUGGACUUCAGGCUUUUGAGUUGAUGCUGGAUUGAAUGACGGUGCCAUGCUCUUGGACUUACCAACCUCCAGAACUGUGAGCUGAAUAAACGUCUUU